rnacentral:rRNA from 1 species
GACGAACGCUGGCGGCGUGGAUUAGGCAUGCAAGUCGAACGGUAUCAUCCUUUCGGGGGUGAGAGAGUGGCGAACUGGUGAGUAACACGUAGGUUAUCUACCCUCAAGACGGGGACAACCCAGGGAAACUUGGGCUAAUACCGGAUGUGAGCAACUUUUAGUUGUUUGAAAGGUGGCGUAAGCUGUCGCUUGGGGAUGAGCCUGCGUCCUAUUAGUUAGUUGGUGAGGUAACGGCUCACCUAGGCAAUGAUAGGUAGGCGGCCUUAACGGGUGGUCGCCCACACUGGGAUUGAGAUACGGCCCAGACUCCUACGGGAGGCAGCAGUCGAGAAUAGUCUACAAUGGUCGGAAGACUGAUAGUGCGACGCCGCGUGAACGAUGAAUCCCUUCGGGGUGUAAAGUUCUUUUAUAUGUGAGCAGUGCUUCUUAUAUUAACAGUAUGGGGAGAGAGAUAUUAGCAUAUGAAUAAGCAACGGCUAACUCCGUGCCAGCAGCCGCGGUAAAAUCG